rnacentral:rRNA from 1 species
CCUACGGGUGGCUGCAGUCGAGAAUCAUUCACAAUGGGGGAAACCCUGAUGGUGCGACGCCGCGUGGGGGAAUGAAGGUCUUCGGAUUGUAAACCCCUGUCAUGUGUGAGCAAAUUAAAAAGAUAGUACCACAAUGAGAGUAGACGGCUAACACUGUGCCAGCAGCCGCGGUAAUACAGAGGCCUCAAUCGUUGUGCGGAAUGACUUGGCGUAAAGCGUGCGGAGGCUGUUUCGUAAGUCGUGUGUGAAAGGCGCGGGGUCAACCCGCGGACGGCACAUGAGACUGCGAGACUAGAGUAAGGGAGGGGGAAGCGGAAUGCGCGGUGUAGCAGUGAAAUGCGUAGAUAUCGAGAGGAACACCGGUGGCGAAGGCGGUCUGCUGGACCGCAACUGACGCUGAGGCGCGAAAGCGUGGGGAGCGAACAGGAUUAGAUACCCUGGUAGUC